rnacentral:rRNA from 1 species
AUUGAACGCUGGCGGCAUGCCUUACACAUGCAAGUCGAACGGUAACAGGGAGCUUGCUCCGCUGACGAGUGGCGAACGGGUGAGUAAUGCGUCGGAACGUGCCGAGUAGUGGGGGAUAACGCAUCGAAAGGUGUGCUAAUACCGCAUACGUACUGAGGUAGAAAGUGGGGGACCUUCGGGCCUCACGCUAUUCGAGCGGCCGACGUCUGAUUAGCUAGUUGGUGAGGUAAAGGCUCACCAAGGCGACGAUCAGUAGCGGGUCUGAGAGGAUGAUCCGCCACACUGGGACUGAGACACGGCCCAGACUCCUACGGGAGGCAGCAGUGGGGAAUUUUGGACAAUGGGCGCAAGCCUGAUCCAGCCAUGCCGCGUGUCUGAAGAAGGCCUUCGGGUUGUAAAGGACUUUUGUCCGGGAGCAGAUGCCUGGUGUUAAUAGCACUGGGAGCUGAGAGUACCGGAAGAAUAAGCACCGGCUAACUACGUGCCAGCCGCCGCCGUAAUAC